UCCGUUUGAUCCUGGCAGAGGUCACUGCUAUCGGGGUUUCGACUAAGCCAUGCAAGUCGAGAGGGGUAAAGCCCUCGGCGAACUGCUCAGUAACACGUGGAUAACCCGACCUAGGGUGGUGGAUAACCCCGGGAAACUGGGGAUAAUACUCCAUAGGCUACGGAAGCUGGAAUGCUCUGUAACCCAAAGCUCCGGCGCCCUAGGAUGGGUCUGCGGCCGAUUAGGUUGUUGUUGGGGUAACGGCCCAACAAGCCGAUCAUCGGUACGGGUUGUGGGAGCAAGAGCCCGGAGAUGGAUUCUGAGACAUGAAUCCAGGCCCUACGGGGCGCAGCAGGCGCGAAAACUUUACAAUGCGGGAAACCGUGAUAAGGGGACCCCGAGUGCCUGUACACGCAGGCUGUUCAGGUGUUUAAAACGCAUCUGGAGAAAGGGCCGGGCAAGACCGGUGCCAGCCGCCGCGGUAAUACCGGCGGCUCGAGUGGUGGCCACUAUUACUGGGCUUAAAGCGUCCGUAGCCGGGUCGUUAAGUCUCUUGGGAAAUCCAACGGCUCAACCGUUGGGCGUUCAAGGGAUACUGGCGAUCUAGGGACUGGGGGAGGUGAGAGGUACUCUAGGGGUAGGAGUGAAAUCCUGUAAUCCUUGGGGGACCACCUGUGGCGAAGGCGUCUCACCAGAACAGCUCCGACGGUGAGGGACGAAAGCUGGGGGAGCAAACCGGAUUAGAUACCCGGGUAGUCCCAGCUGUAAACGAUGCGCGUUAGGUGUAUCGGUGACUACGAGUCACCGAGGUGCCGAAGGGAAACCGUGAAACGUGCCGCCUGGGAAGUACGGUCGCAAGGCUGAAACUUAAAGGAAUUGGCGGGGGAGCACCACAACGGGUGGAGCCUGCGGUUUAAUUGGACUCAACGCCGGGAAGCUCACCGGGUAAGACAGCGGAGUGAUAGCCAGGCUGAAGACUUUGCUUGACCAGCUGAGAGGAGGUGCAUGGCCGUCGUCAGUUCGUACUGUGAAGCAUCCUGUUAAGUCAGGCAACGAGCGAGACCCA
rnacentral:rRNA from 1 species